rnacentral:rRNA from 1 species
GCUGGGGGGAAUAAGGAGAGGGCAAGUCUGGUGUCAGCCGCCGCGGUAAUACCAGCUCUCCGAGUGGUGUGGAUGUUUAUUGGGCCUAAAGCAUCCGUAGCUGGCUAAGUUAGUCCCUUGUUAAAUCCACCGAAUUAAUCGUUGGAUCGCGGGGGAUACUGCUUGGCUAGGGGACGAGAGAGGCAGACGGUAUUUUCGGGGUAGGGGUGAAAUCCUAUAAUCCCGGGAAGACCACCAGUGGCGAAGGCUGUCUGCUAGAACGCGCCCGACGGUGAGGGAUGAAAGCUGGGGGAGCGAACCGGAUUAGAUACCCGGGUAGUCCCAGCUGUAAACGAUGCAGGCUAGGUGUUUGGACGGCCACGUGCCGUUCUAGUGCCGCAGGGAAGCUGUUAAGCCUGCCGCCUGGGGAGUACGAUCGCAAGAUUGAAACUUAAAGGAAUUGGCGGGGGAGCACCACAAGGGGUGAAGCUUGCGGUUUAAUUGGAUUCAACGCCGGAAAGGGCG